rnacentral:rRNA from 1 species
GACGAACGCUGGCGGCGUGCUUAACACAUGCAAGUCGAACGGAAAGGCCCUGCUUGCAGGGUACUCGAGUGGCGAACGAGUGAGUAACACGUGGGUGAUCUGCCCUGCACUUCGGGAUAAGCCUGGGAAACUGGGUCUAAUACCGGAUAUGACCUUCCAUGUAGUGUGGGGGGUGGAAAGAUUUAGCGGUGUGGGAUGAGCCCGCGGCCUAUGCGCUUGUUGGUGGGGUAAUGGCCUACCAAGGCGUCGACGGGUAGCCGGCCUGGGAGGGUGGACGGCCACAUUGGGACUGAGAGACGGCCCAGACUCCAACGGGAGGCAGCAGUGGGGAAUAUUGCACAAUGGGCGGAAGCCUUAUGCAGCGACGCCGCGUGGGGGAUGACGGCCUUCGGGUUGUAAACCUCUUUCGACAGGGACGAAGCUUCGGUGACGGUACCUGUAUAAGAAGCACCGGCUAACUACGUG